GGGAAAGUAGCUCAGUGGUAGAGCGCUUGCCUUGCAUGCAUGAGGUCCUGGGUUCAAUUCCUCAGCACCA
rnacentral:tRNA from 1 species